rnacentral:rRNA from 1 species
GAGUUUGAUCAUGGCUCAGGAUGAACGCUAGCGAUAGGCUUAACACAUGCAAGUCGAGGGGCAGCGAGGGUAGCAAUACCUGUCGGCGACCGGCGCACGGGUGAGUAACGCGUAUGUAACCUGCCCGCAACAGGGGGAUAACCCGGCGAAAGUCGGACUAAUACCGCAUAAAACAGGGGUCCCGCAUGGGAAUAUUUGUUAAAGAUUUAUCGGUUGCGGAUGGGCAUGCGUACCAUUAGGUAGUUGGUGAGGUAACGGCUCACCAAGCCAUCGAUGGUUAGGGGUUCUGAGAGGAAGGUCCCCCACACUGGUACUGAGACACGGACCAGACUCCUACGGGAGGCAGCAGUGAGGAAUAUUGGUCAAUGGGCGAGAGCCUGAACCAGCCAAGUCGCGUGAAGGAUGACUGCCCUAUGGGUUGUAAACUUCUUUUNCAAGGGAAUAAAA